CUUGCAUUGCCGUCGAUGAUUGCGAGUUGCGAACGUUGGUUGUUGAGUAAUGAAUACUGAAAUGAGAGGAAAACUAAAACUUGUAUAGAAUCAGAGAUUCAGAAUACGAAUCCCCGUUACGCACUCAAUUCCCUGCCCGCGACGUAACUCUCCUCGAAAUUCGAAUAGCUUCUUCUUCUUGAAGGGUAAACCACUAAGCUUCUUCUCCCUCUUUCUCUCUCCACGCAUUUGCUUUCGAUGGACGAAGUCAUCAUGGCCUCUGAUGCAUCGUCAAGCUUUCGAUCAGCAUCAUUUCAGCCCUCCAUAAUUCCCUCCAACACCCCUCUUCUCUCCGCUUUCCUUGCCUUCGCUAUCGCUCAGUUCCUUAAACUCUUCACCACCUGGUCAAAUUAAACCAGACAUCUACAUAUGCCAAUGAUAAAGAGUGACUGCAUACAAGUAGAGGGGACAGAUGGGGAAAAGCUAGACCAUACAUGGCUUGAGGUUGGAGUUAUAAGGAUUCGGUUUCUCAAGAACAUCUUUCGAAGAAUAUGAUUCUAGAGAGAGCAGGAUGGAGGGAAGGAAUUCUAGUACGCCACCUCAUUUAGAAUGGAAUUAAAGAUUAAUUGAGUUUUAGUAAAGAAGCAAGAUGUUGCUUAGUUUUCCAUCACUCAGGAGACGUUAAGCAAUAUUGGGAAAGUAGAAUAAUGAAUAUUCUACACAUCUGAUUUUGAGUCCUCUUGCUUUCAGGUACAAAGAGAAGAGAUGGGAUUCUAGAAGGAUCCUUGGAUCAGGUGGGAUGCCCUCAUCACAUACAGCAACUGUGACCGCUCUUGCAGUAGCUAUUGGUCUACAAGAAGGAACUGGAGCACCAACAUUUGCUAUUGCGCUGGUUUUGGCAUGUGUUGUAUGUAUUUGUUAACCAGGUGUUGUUCAUUUUUUGUGUUGACAUGCUUGAUUAUGCAGAAGAGAACAGAUUUUUUCCUCUGCUCCCACCUUCAUAUCCUGUUCUCUCAAAUGAUCUAUUCUUGCAGAAAAAGAUUGCUUUUUCCCCCCAUAGUUAUGCUGCUGCAUAGUCAUAUUGUGAUUUAUGGUGCAUUAGUUAUUUUGCCAACUUCCAUACUCAUUUAAUAAUUAGAGAUCUCCACAAUUCAUUCGCAGUUAAAGGUUCUCAUAUAACGUGUGACUUUUUGCAGGUUAUGUAUGAUGCUACUGGUGUUCGACUUCAUGCUGGUCGCCAAGCUGAAGUGAGAUCAUUUACUGCAUUAUACUUUAUCAUAUGCAUAUUUGUUCAACUGAAUUAAUCAAAUUCGUUGUGGAAUCUGGUGAAGUUCUCUAAUAAAGCAUGGAUAAUUUGAAAAAUUUUCCAGGCCCUAUCUAAUUUACUAACAGCGUCAGCUUGCUAGAUUGUAUUUGCAAUGUCUACUAUCUGUGGCUCAAUGUUGAAAUAUUUCUUUCUUUUGUUCAAUAUUUUUUUUAAAAUAAAUGUGAAAUGAUAAAUUCCCCCUAAAUUUCAUCCUGUGUAUUCUAAAUAGGAUGAAAAUGCAUUUUCAUAGAUUUUUUUGAUGUUUGAUGUUGUCAUUCUGUUAAUUUGAUUGUUGGAAACCUUUAUUGAUCUUGACAGUCUUUGAUUUUGAGGCAGCUAUAAUAAUGUUAUUGAAAUAUAACCUGUUUAGUGUUUAACAAUUAAUAUAACAUACAAGACUUUGGAUGCAGUUUUUCUGUGAACAUUCAUAUGGUUCUUAUAAUUGAUAAGCUUCUAAAGUAAAAUAGAUCAAGUAGGAUGACAUUAUGCUGCAGUAAUUUGCCGAUUGUUGAUUUUGGUUUGAUUUAUAUUUUGUCAAUCUAACUAGUUUGUGAAUUGGUGGCUCUUUUGGUUUUUCCAUUUGUACUGGACAUACUUUGUCCUGUGAACAAUCAUUAAACAAAGGACAUUAUGUUUAGGACGCAAACACUGGUGUCAAACAGUAAAUAAAGAGCUUAAAUUGUUGAUAAUAUUUUUAUUCUAACAAAAUAUUUAUGAAAAAAUGUACUUGCACAUGCAAACUGCUCCAUGAUAUUCUGAGGAAGGGAAAACACAUGCAUUUUAUCAUCAUUGGGAUUGGGGUAUACCUGGCAUGCAAGUGCAUCAUAUCUUACGGGUUUCAUGCUUACCAUUGGUUAAAUUCUUCCUUGAAUUUUUGCUUGGUUGUGUUCAUUCUGUAGCAAUUUUUUCUUUGCCAUGAAGUUGAACAUUUAUUUGCUGCUAACAAUUACAUUCAUCAUCAUGGUACUAUUUGCUCUAUGCCUACCCAAUCUUUGUGGUUGUAGUGUAGAAUGCUUUACCUGUGCAUGUUUAUAUUUUUCUUUCUAACUUGUAUCCUUUCGCAUUUUGCAGUUACUAAAUCAAAUUGUAUGUGAGCUACCUCCUGACCACCCUGUCUCCAAUGUCAGACCUCUUCGAGAUUCGCUAGGUCACACUCCUCUCCAGGUUGCUGCUGGUGCUGUGCUGGGGAGCAUUGUAGCAUUUCUCAUGAGAAGUUCCAACUAGCGGAUGAUCUCACUUAUGUCCAAUGGUGAUUCUUUGACCAAUUCACGGAACACUCAACAGGCUCACACUCUGCAAGCAUAUUUGCUCCCUCAUGGAAGAAUCAAAACUUUCUGCUUCGUGGGGCCGUACUCAAUGUUAAUGGAUGGGGGUCUUCUGUUGGCAUGUACGAUAACUUGACCGAGUGAUGCGUGUGGGUGUGUGUGUGUUUG
rnacentral:misc_RNA from 1 species